AACGAACGCUGGCGGCAGGCCUAACACAUGCAAGUCGAGCGAAGCCUUCGGGCUUAGCGGCGGACGGGUGAGUAACGCGUGGGAACGUGCCCUUUGCUACGGAAUAGCCCCGGGAAACUGGGAGUAAUACCGUAUGUGCCCUUCGGGGGAAAGAUUUAUCGGCAAAGGAUCGGCCCGCGUUGGAUUAGGUAGUUGGUGGGGUAAUGGCCUACCAAGCCGACGAUCCAUAGCUGGUUUGAGAGGAUGAUCAGCCACACUGGGACUGAGACACGGCCCAGACUCCUACGGGAGGCAGCAGUGGGGAAUCUUAGACAAUGGGCGGAAGCCUGAUCUAGCCAUGCCGCGUGAUCGAUGAAGGCCUUAGGGUUGUAAAGAUCUUUCAGGUGGGAAGAUAAUGACUGUACCACCAGAAGAAGCCCCGGCUAACUCCGUGCCAGCAGCCCGGUAACAC
rnacentral:rRNA from 1 species